rnacentral:rRNA from 1 species
AGACCCGAAACCCGGUGAUCUAGCCAUGGGCAGGUUGAAGGUUGGGUAACACUAACUGGAGGACCGAACCGACUAAUGUUGAAAAAUUAGCGGAUGACCUGUGGCUGGGGGUGAAAGGCCAAUCAAACCGGGAGAUAGCUGGUUCUCCCCGAAAGCUAUUUAGGUAGCGCCUCGUGAAUUCAUCUCCGGGGGUAGAGCACUGUUUCGGCUAGGGGGCCAUCCCGGCUUACCAACCCGAUGCAAACUGCGAAUACCGGAGAAUGUUAUCACGGGAGACACACGGCGGGUGCUAACGUCCGUCGUGAAGAGGGAAACAACCCAGACCGCCAGCUAAGGUCCCAAAGUCAUGGUUAAGUGGGAAACGAUGUGGGAAGGCCCAGACAGCCAGGAUGUUGGCUUAGAAGCAGCCAUCAUUUAAAGAAAGCGUAAUAGCUCACUGGUCGAGUCGGCCUGCGCGGAAGAUGUAACGGGGCUAAACCAUGCACCGAAGCUGCGGCAGCGACACUUUAGUGUUGUUGGGUAGGGGAGCGUUCUGUAAGCCGUUGAAGGUGUCCUGUGAGGGGUGCUGGAGGUAUCAGAAGUGCGAAUGCUGACAUAAGUAACGAUAAAGCGGGUGAAAAGCCCGCUCGCCGGAAGACCAAGGGUUCCUGUCCAACGUUAAUCGGGGCAGGGUGAGUCGACCCCUAAGGCGAGGCCGAAAGGCGUAGUCGAUGGGAAACGGGUUAAUAUUCCCGUACUUGGUGUUACUGCGAAGGGGGGACGGAGAAGGCUAUGUUGGCCGGGCGACGGUAGUCCCGGUUUAAGCGUGUAGGCUGGUUUUCCAGGCAAAUCCGGAAAAUCAAGGCUGAGGCGUGAUGACGAGGCACCACGGUGCUGAAGCAACAAAUGCCCUGCUUCCAGGAAAAGCCUCUAAGCAUCAGGUAACAUCAAAUCGUACCCCAAACCGACACAGGUGGUCAGGUAGAGAAUACCAAGGCGCUUGAGAGAACUCGGGUGAAGGAACUAGGCAAAAUGGUGCCGUAACUUCGGGAGAAGGCACGCUGACAC